rnacentral:misc_RNA from 1 species
AACACUGUUAACCUGCGGUACCUGCGGAAGGAUCAUUACCGAGUUUACAAACUCCCAACCCUAUGUGAACCUUACCAAUCGUUGCUUCGGCGGGCUUAGCCCCCGCGCCCUCGCCGGCGCCGGGAGAAAGGCGCCCGCCGGGGACCCCAAACCCAAUGUUUUUCAUGCAGUAUUUCUGAGUGGCAAACGCAAAAAUAAAUCAAAACUUUCAGCAACGGAUCUCAGAUCGGAAGAGCACAC